AACCCAGGAAUCUGAGGUAUAUCUAUUUGCUAUUCUGAAGGAUGGAGUUCCUGUUGGUCAAGAGAAGCAGCUUAGUCCCUGAGACACUAAUGUGUCAGAGCUGAGUUGACAGGUCUGAAUAAGGUGGUUCCUCAGAUCCUGUUUAACUGUCCUGUGGGCCUGGACAAACUGGCACCUGGAACAGGGAUCCCAGGGGACCCCAGGGAUCCCAGAGGAGAGAAAGCUGCUCAUCAUUGGAGGGUAGGCCUACCUGCUCAUCUUGAGAAGCACCAGAGAGCAACUUCUGUUUGCUGAAGAUGACAAGGAUUAACCCAUUGUUAGACAGUCCAGAAGGAAAAGAAAAUGAAGCAGCGCAGAUCAUAGGAGAAAUAUGGAGCUAAAGAACACUCUUACCCAUCUCUGACUACUGGACUUCUAUGGCACACUCUUCCCCAUUCAGACCAAGGCCAUGAAGGUCAUAUGAAUAUGUACUCCAUGCAUUUCUACAUUGCAAUGCAUAACUGUCAUCGUGACUGGCUGAGCUUGCUGAAAGCAAUCCUGUUGGAAGGCAACCAAUCUGUUGAAGAUACAAGGUCCAAAAGUUAAAGGCAACAAGAUUAUACUUAAUGGUCCAAGAAGUGUAGAAAUCAAAGAUGUAAAUCAUGGGUAAUAGGAGAAUCACUAUCCCUGAUUCUGACCUUUUUCUCUUUUUCCUUUUGGCUUGUCUUCUAGAACUUUAGCCAUAGAAUCCUUUACUAUUUCUGAAUGAUUGAUGUAAAAGUAACAAUCUUUAUAUGAAAGACCAGGAAAAAUUCAGACCCUCUAGCACCAAGAAUGUAGGUUAGCCAGUUCAGUGACCCUGUUCCAGGAACUGGCCGACCACAAAAGUUAGAUUAAAAUCUUGAGAACAAUCUUGCGAAUCAGGGAGUUUCUCCUUGUGGUUUUUAGUACCCCCUUGUGAUUUUUCACUGGUAUUUUCGGCAUUUUCCAAUAACGCCCGCCCUACCCCGUUGGGUUGUGGUUUUUUCCUUUAAAUACCCCGUUUCCCAUAUACUCUAGGUCCAUGGUCCUCUACCCCUGUGUGGUGUAUUACUGUGGGCCCCAGAGCGCUCCUGGAAUAAAAAGUCGUCUUGUGGUUUGCA
ensembl:antisense